AGUAGGGAAGGGGCGUGGCUGCACAGCAGGGAAGGGGCAAGGCCAAACUAGGCUCAUUAGACGUCGAGGAAGUA
rnacentral:lncRNA from 12 species